CGCUAAAUUUAGCAGGAACAUUUUUCCGCUAGAUUUAGCGGGAAAAUGUUCCCGCUAGAUUCGGCGGGGAAAUUUUCAGGCUAAAUUUAGCGGGGAACUUUUUUCCGCUAGAUUUAGCGGAAAAAUUUCGCUAAAUUUAGCGAGAAUAUUUUCCCGCUAGAUUUAGCGGGGAAAUUCUUCCGCUAAAUAUAGCGAGGUAAUUUUUCCGCUAAAUUUAGCGGGGAAAUUUU
rnacentral:snoRNA from 1 species